rnacentral:rRNA from 1 species
GAUGAACGCUGGCGGCGUGCCUAAUACAUGCAAGUCGAGCGAACGGACGAGAAGCUUGCUUCUCUGAUGUUAGCGGCGGACGGGUGAGUAACACGUGGAUAACCUACCUAUAAGACUGGGAUAACUUCGGGAAACCGUAGCUAAUACCGGAUAAUAUUUUGAACCGCAUGGUUCAAAAGUGAAAGACGGUCUUGCUGUCACUUAUAGAUGGAUCCGCGCUGCAUUAGCUAGUUGGUAAGGUAACGGCUUACCAAGGCAACGAUGCAUAGCCGACCUGAGAGGGUGAUCGGCCACACUGGAACUGAGACACGGUCCAGACUCCUACGGGAGGCAGCAGUAGGGAAUCUUCCGCAAUGGGCGAAAGCCUGACGGAGCAACGCCGCGUGAGUGAUGAAGGUCUUCGGAUCGUAAAACUCUGUUAUUAGGGAAGAACAUAUGUGUAAGUAACUGUGCACAUCUUGACGGUACCUAAUCAGAAAGCCACGCCUAACUACGU